rnacentral:rRNA from 1 species
UCCUUUUGAGAAAAAUUUAAGGUUUAACCUGCCCAAUGAUUAAUUUAAUGGCCGCAGUAUUUUGACUGUGCUAAGGUAGCAUAAUCAUUAGUUUUUUAAUUGAAAGCUGGAAUGAAGGGUUGAAUGAGAAAAUAACUGUCUCUUAUAAAUUUUAUUAGAAUUUUAUUUUUAAGUUAAAAAGCUUAAAUUUAUUUAAAAGACGAGAAGACCCUAUAGAGUUUAAUAUAAUUGAUUUAAUUUAAAGUAAAGAAUUUAGUUUUUAAUUAAAUUUUUAUAUUUAAUUGGGGUGAUUAAAAAAUUAAAUUAACUUUUUUUAUAUUAUUAUAUGAAUUAAUAAUUAUUUGAUCCAAAUAUUUUGAUUAUAAGAAUAAAUUACCUUAGGGAUAACAGCGUAAUUUUAUUAGAGAGUUCUUAUCGAUAAUAGAGAUUGCGACCUCGAUGUUGGAUUAAAA